GUGGGGCGGAGGAGGCAUCGUGUGCAGAGGCAGCUGCUACUGCUGUGGCGCCUCCCAGGCGGGCGAGUGCGUGCACAAGGAUCUCCGACGUGCGGCCCGGCAUCCUCCUCCGCUGGGGCGUCUUCACCAACUACUUCUAGGGCAAGGGCAUGGCCGAGAACGCGAGCCACAAGUCCUACCGGCCGCUCUGCGUCCUCACCUUCAAGUUGAGAUUGCCUGCCUGCAAAAGUAGUUCAGCUCGGGUUUAAGAAGACUGGACCUCAAGGAAGCAUUUUAUAUGUAUCUUUUCAGAAAUUUGAUUCCACCCUCCUAAGGACCCCAGAAGAACAUGGGAUGCAGGG